AUGCAUGGAAGAGGCUGUACUAUAAUUUUCCAUCUAUCACCCUUUUCACAGUGUGUUCCUGAAAGCCAACGGCGAUCAGCCUGUGACAUGGAAGAGGGCGUCCAUCAUGGUCAGGUCCCCAGUGGCCGGCCAGCUUUGAUUGCCACGACCAGGUUGCCGGCCGCGCGCAUGCAAGUCGCCUUCAUCACGUUUUCAUCUGCACCGUGCAUCGAUCAACUUGUACAGUAUAAAAUAACGAUGAUGCAAGGAAAUAUCCAAGCAGGAGAUGGACAGGAAUUAAUAUACAUCAGCUUGUACGUCUCCAUCCUGCAGCGCGCAAUGUGA
rnacentral:rRNA from 1 species